UCCCUGGUGGCUCAGAGGUUAAAGCGUCUGCCUGCAAUGUGGAUGACCUGGGUUCGAUCCCUGGGUUAGGAA
rfam:TPA: Bos taurus chromosome 1, whole genome shotgun sequence.